GCGGGAGGGCCGCCGAGAGUCCCUCCCGCCCAUCGUGGUCGCGGCGGCACAGAAAACCCUCGCUGCGGGGGCUCAAGCUGGCAGUUCAGGCUCUGCAGUGACAACAGCUGAGAAAAAACCAGUGACACCAGGACCAGCACUAAAGAAGUGGGAAAUUUCGAAAGACCAGCCGUAUUUGUGAGACACAAGUAUGAUGAGGCUGGACGUGCGGGUCACAGUUCAUUACAAAGCAGCGCUCUAAUGGGGAGGCCUGUGGUGGAUUUUGCUACGGUGAUGCUGCGUGGAGCUUGUCCUAGUGCUGCUGCUGCAUGACCAAUAAAUGUAUUUAAAGCUGUGAU